CCAUGUAUUCACGUUAGCAGCAGCCAUGGCUGUUGACUGCCCCAGAGGUCCCGUAAGAUAGUUUAUAAGAUUGGAUCCUAUGCCACAGAGAAAAAGGAAGAACAAAUUAUGGUUUCUGGUGCUUACCUAUGAUGAAAAUUGCAGAUCUCCAACCACCGGAGCUGGAUCUCUUGGACGGAUAACCUUGAUGAUCAACGGUGCCAUUGACCGUGUCUUCCAGGAGGGGAGAUUCCAGGCUUUGGAGCAUGUUAGCCAUGGCCGUGUUUCAGCGAAACACAGUGACCAGAAGGAAGAUUUUCUCCUUUCAACCACUUCUCUUUUCUAAACUGCGGGUGAAGUUGUGUAUACUGUAUUUGUGGGUCAUGUUUCUUGUAUUUUAAUACAUCUUUAGCACAUCACUGGUUUAGACCA